GGCUCCGCGCGCCUGCCAGGCCGGGGCCGGCGGCGGAACAGCUUGGGACCCGAAACGCCUCGGCUUUUCUGCGGACCCGCGCCCGGCCGCUGCCGCCGGACGCUUGAAAAGAGAUGGUGUCCCAUGAUGUUUCCCAGGCUGGUGUCAAACUCCUGGGCUCAUGUGAUCCUCCUGUUCUGGCCUCCCAAAGUGCUAAGAUUAUAGACAUGAACUACUGUAACCAGCCUAAACCAGUAUUUUAAAAAACAGAGGCAGAGUCUUGCUUUGUUGUCCAGGCUGGUCUUGAACUUCUGAGCUCAAGUGAUCCUCCCGCCUUGGCCUCCCAAAGUGCUGAGACUACAGAGAGAGAAUGCUAACGAGCUGUGAAAUGACCAAAGAUCUGGCAGCAGAAGGGAAAAGAAAAAAUAAUGGAAUAUUUUCUGUCUACAAUUGGUUGAAUCUGUGGAUGUGGAAACUGCAGAUACAGAUGGAGAGCCGACUAUACUAGCUUUUUGUUUCAUUUUUCACUUCUGGUGUGUGUGUGUGUGUGUGUGUGUGUGUGUGUGUGUGUGUAUCUGUGUGUGUGUUUUAUUAAUCUCUGUGCCUGCAUGUUAGUUUCUUCCUCUUUAUUUGGAUUUUCACUAACAUUCUUUUCAGCUUCUUCAGUUGGAUACUUGUUGCCAAUAUAUUUUUUUUCAUUCUAAGAAUUAAAUAAAUGGGCCAGGCGUGGUGGCUCAUGCCUGUAAUCCCAGCACUUUGGGAGGCCAAGAUGGGUGGAUCACAAGGUCAGGUGUUUGAGACCAGCUUGGCCAAAGCUGGUGAAACUCCAUCUCUACUAAAAAUACAAAAAUUAGCUGGGCAUGGUGGUGCGCGUCUAUAAUCCCAGCUACUCAGGAAGCUGAGGCAGGAGAAUCACUUGCACCCAAGAAGUGGAGGUUGCAGUGAGCCAAGAUUGCGCCAUUGCACCCCAGCCUGGGCAACACAGCGAGACUCCAUCUGAAAAAAAAAAAAAAGAAUAAAUGAAUGUAUUAAUCACCAAACUGCUCUUCAUCAGAAACUCUUAGCAGUGGUAUGUUGAGGUCUCCCUGCCUACCGUAUAUGUCUCUUAACUCUGCGGGUGCAAUAUUUUGUCAUGGGUCAGUUUAGCAAUAUUGUACUAUUUCCCAAUUUUCUAAGUGUGUUCAUUUCAGAGUUUAUCCUAUUCAUUGUUCUUUCUUUCUUUUAAAAAUUUCUAUGACUGAGCUGGACAUGGUAGCUCACACCUGUAAUCCUAGCACUUUGGGAGGCUGAGGAGAGUGGAUCACCUGAGGUCAGGAGUUCCAAACCAGCCUGGCCAACAUAGUGAAACCCUGUGUCUACUAAAAAUACAAAAAAUUAGCUGGCCAUGGUGGCAGGCGCCUGUAAUCCCGGCUACUAGGGAGGCUGAGGCAGGAGAAUCUCUUGAAUCCAUGAGGCGGAGGUUGCGGUGAGCCAAGAUCAUGCCAUUGCACUCCAGCCUGGGCACCAAGAGUGAAACUCUGUCUCAAAACAAAAAAAAACUUUUCUAUGACUGUAUUUUUAAUUCUCAGGAUUUUAAUUUGUUAUUCUUCAUAAUCAUAGCUAUUUUAUUUCUGACGGUUCGUGCUUCAUAAUUUUUAUGAAUGUUAUUCCUCUGCUUAAUUCCUUUGAAAGUCUUGAACAAAUUCUUUUUAAAGAAGUAAUUUUCAGAUACUCUAGUAUUUUGUUUUUACCUGGUGUGAAUGCUUCUCCAUGUUGUGGUUUCUAUUUUUGGCAGUCUUUCUUAUUUCUCUCCCUCUCUCCUUUUCUCUGUUCCUUCUUCUCUUCCUUCAUUCCUUCCUUCCUGUCCCCCUAGGCUUAACCUUCCUGGUCUCAUAGUUUUGCCGUUACCUACUUUCUGGGCCUCCCAGGCCUAGACCUCGGUUUUAUCCUAUAGUAUUGUAGAUCCAGUUCCUUCUCUAGGGUCAAAUUCCGUCUUUAAGACUAUGCCUGGUUCUUCCAUGUCCCUAGGUAUACAGAUGUUUACAAGCCUGUAGCCCUAGGCAAUUCCUUUCAAGGGGGUAGCCUUAUCCCAGCCCUUGAUUUCAUGUGAGUCUUCUGCCUCACAUGGGUUAUUUAGUUCUUAGUACCCUGUAUGAGUCUUGCCCCUGGAUGCCUCUGUUUGCUGUUGGCAGAAUUGAGCUGGUCUACAUCUUCAGGCUACUUACCAUAUUGUUUCUGUUCCAUUUCUGGGCUAUGGAGAUGUUUUUAAGUGUGAAAAUGCCUUACAUUUUUCCCAUUUUAUAUUAAAUCUAUUAUCACUAUCAUUUUGGAUUGGCGUGGUCCUCAAAGCCCCAUCUUGACUAGAAAUCAACUAGCAUUUGCUUCUCUGCAGUUCGUAAUCUAGCUUCCUCUCUCACCUUUCUCUUGGCAAUUGCCCUCUCUGAAGUCACUGCUGUUGUUUCCGAGUCACUGAAUGAAACCGUUUUUCCUUCAGCCCCCAUUUUCCUUCACUCCUCUGCAGCAUCCAGCAGUGUUGACUGCUCUUCCUUUUACCUCUCUCCUGUUGGCUGUUAGGAUGCUCUGCUGUCCCGGAUCACUACCUCUUCUGAUGCUUCCAGUUUUUAAACUGCUUUCACUUUUUCUUCCCCUUUUGUAACUGUGGAUGUCCCACAAGGCCAAGUCCUUGGUGCUCUGGUUUUACCCUCUAUUUCAGCUAAUUUUGCUUAUUCUCAUCUUUGGUCAUUGCUAAGUCCCUAUCUGUUCACCAGGGCUUCCCCCUCCCCUGAGUUCUAAGCUACAGAUCUGCUUGUGACACGUUCCACUUGAUGCCCUGCUGUUCCAUCAAAUUUCCUCCCCUUUAAUCCUCCCAAAUGCCAUUACAGAUAUCAUUAUUCUUAGAUGGAGUCUUGCUCCGUUGCCCAGGCUGGAGUAUAGUGGUGUGAUCUCGGCUCACUGCAACCUUCACCUCCUGUGUUCAAGUGAUUCUCCUGCUUCAGCCUCCUGAGUAGCUGGGAUUACAGGCAUGCACCACCACACCAGAGUAAUUUUUGUAUUUUUUGUGGAGAUGGGGUUUCACCAUGUUGGCCAGGCUGGUCUCAAACUCCUGACCUCAAGUGAUCCUCCCACCUCAGCCUCCCAAAGUGCUGUGAUUACAGAAGUGAGCCACCAUGCCCAGCCUGUUAUAGAUAUCAUCUUUCCCUUAGUUUCUAAGGCUCAGAAUCAUACCCUUCCUUGAUUCCUCAUAUUUUCUCCAGAGUCAGUUAAUUAUACAUCCUAUCCAUCCUCUUUCCUGUCAUUUCCUCUUUUUGCCAUUGCACGGCUCACACACCUGCUAUGGUCCCUUGUUAUUUCUUCUUUUGGACCAUUUUGGUAUUCUUCCAGAGAAGCAGGACAGUUAAAUGUGGCAAUAUUUGGACUCAUUUGUGUUCAAAAUUUGUGAUAUGGAUUCUUCCCACAUCCCCUGCCCCAAUAACAAAACUUACCUUAUAAAUAUUCACAGCUUUCUUUGCUGCCCUCUCUCUGACACCAAGGAGGAAGAAUUCUCUGAUGAAUGAGCAAAGUUUAAAGACUUUGUGUUUAUGUGUUCUGGGUAAUGGAUUUACUUUAGAAGAGCAAGAAACUGUUCAAAAGAAAAGAAUUUAAUUGAGCUGAAACCUAAAGGAUGAGUAGGGACUCUCAGGACAACCCAGGGAAGGAUGGAGUUGUAUUCCAGAUAGAGGGGUGGUAUGGUUUGGAACUGUGUCCCCACCAAAUCUCAUGUCGAAUUGUAAUCCCCAGUGUUGGCGGUGGAGCCUGGCAGGAAGUGACAAGAUCAUGGGGACGUAUUUCUCAUGAAUGGUUUAGCACUAUCGUGUUGGUGCUGUUCUUAUGAUAGUGAGUUCUUGCAAGAUCUGGUUGUUUCAAAGUACGUGGCACUUCCCCCCUUCGCUCUCUCUCUUGCCGUCACUCUAGUCAUGUGAGAUGUGUGCUUCUCCUUCACCUUCCACCAUGACUGUAAGUUUCCUGAGGCCUCCCCAGAAACCAAGAAGAUGACAGCAUCAUGCUUCCUGUAUAGCACAAAGAACUGCGAGCUAGUUAAACCUCUUUUCUUUUUAAAUUACCCUGUCUCAGGUAUUUAUAGCAAUGUGAGAAUGGACUAAUACAAGGGGGAAGCACAAGCAAAGACAGAAGGAAAAUACAACAGGGUGUCUGUGAGUGUGUGUGCACAUUUGUGUGUGCAUGUGGCGGGGUCUACAAAGAGUCACUGUGAACCAGGGAGUGGGGAGUGCUGAGAAUGGACAGAAAAGAUUCAUGUGCCCAGUUGAGAAAUAUAAUUUGAGGAGUCACAGAAGUAUUGUUAAGUGAGAGUUGAGAUCGCAUGGCCACGUUCGUCGCCAGGUUUCUAACUUUGGAUGGCAUCUUUCACCACGCAGGACUCAAUGGGGAGGAAGCAGGGGUAUGGGUUGAGGAUUCUGAUGAGACUGUCACUACUACUCUUUCUUGCUUCAUUAGUGUUGUUUGUGACACCCAGAAGAGCUGAAGGGGGCAUCUUUGUGGGGAAGGAGUAGAAGGGUAGCCCUCAGAAAGGGGGUUCCUGGGAUAGUCAGAAUGUGUUUACCAGGAAGAGAGGCAGAAUUAAGGGGCUGGCAACAUAGCUGGGAAGUUGACUGCAUGGGUUGUCAUAUCUAAAAGAGAUUUCAAAGAUGGAAACAGGAGCAUGGGCGAAGUUGAGAUCUCAGCCCCCUCAUUUUACUGUUCCCCUACUUGUGAAAUUCAUUUUAGUUCUUCAGGGCCCAUCUGAAAUGCCAGCUUCUCUCUGAAGGUUUUCCUUUAGACCUUGGCUGGAAGAUAUCUCUUUCUCUUUGGAAACUCUAUAACUUGUGGUUUGCAAGUAUUUUAUGGCUUUGUAUUCCCCCUUAUGUGUAAGAUCCUUGAAGAUUGUUUUGCAUAUCUUUGUAUCUCCUCCACCACCUGAGACUCUCUGCUGUGUGUAGGAUCUCUGCUGAAGAAAUCAUAAUGGAACUGAAUCUGUACUUUCACAGGAAAAGUACAUGCUACAGGAUUUAAUAAAUAUGAAUCUUACAUAAGGAAAUAGCUCAAGGAAUUUGAAUAUUUCAAAGCUCUAUCCAUAUAAAGCCUGAAUAAUUCAUGCAAAUAUUUGAAGAAAAGAACAAAAGCUUAUCUAAUAUUUCAGUACACUGCUCUUUAUUUUGGUCCAUAAAAGGAGAUCUUGUGCUUAGUUUUGGUGGUAAACUCAGCUUUAGCAGCUUUGAAAUGCAGAUUAGAUCAAUUACAUCACAAUUAUAUUUGAAAAUUGAAAAACAGCAUUAUCCAAAAGUCAAAUUCCAAAUUUAUGCCUUUUCAAAGGAAGUGUCAUUUGGAAAGAAACUGAUUCACACCAUGAAAUAUGUGGCAUUUCUUUUGGUUUCCAGUCUCUUCUAUAGUAGUAGAAGGCUCAUGUGAUAUGCAGACAUGUGCUUAAUCAAAUUUAGCUUUCCUUUUCAAGUUAAGAAAAUGUAUAUGAAGUAUUUCUGAGAUAAAAAGAGGCACAGUCUUUUUUUUUUUUUUUUUAGCACAAACAUCUCCUAUGCUGCUGCAUUUGUCUUAAUUCCUUAUUUGAAAAUUUGGCUUUGUUUAUGUAAUGUACAAAUUCCUAUUCACUUAAAACAGGACCAGAAUAGCCUGGAACCCUAUAGAGCUAAAUGAUAUUUUAGAGUGCUGAUCCUCAUUUUCUCUUCGGUAAAGAACACAACACGAUUAUUUGUAUUUAUCUUGUCGUACACACACUCAGGAUUACUCACUGAGGAAUGGGGCUCAAGUUUGGUUGCAAGACUUCCAUUUACUAGGCUGUGUGAUGUUGAGCAAGUCACUUAAUCUCUGAGGUAAAAUGAGGGGCCUGUUGCCUAAAAUUCCGUGCUUCUGUAAUUUAAGUAUAAUUGACCCAGAUGUUUGAUGAUUACUUUGAAAAUUGAAAAAAGAUGCUAGUGGCCAUAAGAAAUUUGUACCACUGUGCCCCGAGUAGUGCUUCUGAAAUAGUAACACAGGGAGAAGGUUGGGAGGCCCCUUCUUUGUCAUUUACAUAGGGUUUGUUUGUCUGAAGUAGCAGAUGCCAAGUGUUAGGGGUCCAAAGAUGCUACCAGAAUUAGAGGAGAUGGAGAAAAGGCUAACGGAAUUUUCUUAAUUCGAAAAAAAAAAAAAAGGCCAGGCGCGGUGGCUUACGCCUGUAAUCCCAGCACUCUGGAAGGCUGAGGCGGGAGGAUCACCUGAAGUCAGAAGUUCAAGACCAGCCUGGCCAUGGUGAAACCCCGUCUCUACUAAAAAUGCAUAAAAUUAGCCGGGCAUGGUGGUGCGCGCCUGUAAUCCCAGCUACUGGGGAGGCUGAGGCAGGAGAAUCGCUUGAACCUGGGAGGUGGAGGUUGCAGUGAGCCGAGAUGGCUCCAUUGCACUCCAGCCUCGGCAACAAGAGGGAAACUCCAUCUCAAAAAAAACAAAAAACAACAACAAUAAAAAACCCAAAGCAAAACAGAAAUGAGUUUCUAAUUGUAUUGCAAAUUACUUGCAGGACUGAAAAUGAUUGAACUGUCACACAUUUCUACAUUAAUAAGCACUAUCCAAAAGAAUCAGUUACAACAGAGUAAUUUACCAAGAUUAAUCUUUAAAAAGAAUCUCAUUUUUAAGAGCUCAUUUUCAGGGUUGUAGAUAUAUAUAUAUAUAUAUAUAUAUAUAUAUAUUUUUUUUUUUUUUUAAACGAGGUUUCGCUCUUGUUGUUCAGGCUGGAGUGCAAUGGUGCGAACUCGGCUCACCGCAACCUCUGCUUCCCGGGUUCAAGCGAUUAUCCUGCCUCAGCCUCCGAAGUAGCUGGGAUUACAGGCACACACCACAUUGCCCGGCUAAUUUUGUAUUUUUAGUAGAUGGGGUUUCUCCAUGUUGGUCAGGCUGGUCUCACACUCCCGACCUCAGGUGAUCUGCUCGCCUUGGCCUCCCAAAGUGCCGAGAUUACAGGCUUCAGCCACCGGCGCCUGGCUGGUUAUAGCUUUUUAAAACAAUUUGCUUAUUGUUUCUUAGUUUGUAGAAAGUUUCUCUUGGAGAUUUGUGAAGGAAAUACAUGUGAUCGCUUUUGUGAUGUGUUCAGAUGGAAAGAAAAUCUAACUUUCAUAAGAAAAAUUGUAUCACACUAGAUGCAGGAAAAAAAUAGAUAUUCGAAGAACCACAUACCAGAUGCAGAUGAAAUGUAAUGUAUAAAGACUAUUUUUAUAAUGAUUUUUUAAAUUUAGAUUUUUACAAUAUGGAUUUUAAAAUUUUAUUUCACUUUUAAUUGACUAAUUUUAUACAUUUAUAAGGUACAAUAUGUUGUUUCAAUACAUGUAUACAUUGCAAAAUGAUCAAAUCAGGCUAAUUAACAUAUCUAUCACCUUACAUUCUUAUUAUUUCUUUGUAGUGAGAAUAUCUAAAAUUGAAAUACAGUCCUUUUUAUUGUAACUGAGAGAAACAAGAGCAAUGUAUAUGUGGUAGAAUUUAAAAGUCAUAUGUGUAUAUUUAUAUAUGUACAUCUACGUACAAUUGCCUGUGUACAUAUAAUUAUCUGCUAUAUAUUAUGCAUAUGUAAUACAUAUGCACCUGUGUAAGUUGGAAUUCUUAUCUAUUCUAUAGAAAGAAAAGUUCUACAUUGAAAUAUAGCCAACAUCCAGUUAACUCUGAAAAAAAAUCACAUCAUUGCUUGGCUUUUUCUGUUGUUACUUCCUGUUGGCCUAGUGGCAAUGAUUCAUUAUAAUGCAAUGUAAUUCAAUAUCACAUGGUGAAUUUAAAUGGCUGUAUAGGAAAUCUGUAACACUGUUCUUGCUUAAAAAUGUAAAACUUCAAUAGAAGGCGGUUCAUCAGAGAAUUUGGUAACACCAAAUAGUAAACGCUUUGAUUUCAGUAAUACUAAGACCCUGAUAGAAUUAAAAUGUGACUGAAUUUUACUUCUUAGUAAUUAUUUUAUAGCUAAUAUGUAAAAAAAAAAAAACCACCCUUUUCAUCAGUUCAUUGUCUUUCUGAAAGUAGGCUGCUUCCAUUAUAUGUACUGAAAUAUAUUUUCCUAAAUGUUAGGCUUAUUUGAUACAAGCACUCAUUUUAUUUUAUUUAUUUAUUUAUUUAUUUAUUUAUUUGAGACAGAGUUUCGCUCUUGUUGCCCAGGCUGUAGUGCAGUGGAGAUCACUGCAACCUCUGCCUCCAGGGUGCAAGUGAUUCUCCUGCCUCAGGCUCCCGAGGAGCUGAGAUUACAGGCGUCCGCAACCAGGCCCGGCUAAUUUUUUGUAUUUUUAGUAGAGAUGGGGUUUCACCAUGUUGGCCAAGCUGGUCUUGAACUCCUGACCUCAGGUGAUCCACCCGCCUUGGCCUCCCAAAGUGCUAGGAUUACAGGCGGCAGCCACCACACCUGGCCUGCACUCAUUUUAAAGUUGGAAAAACAGAGGCCCCAGUGAUUAGCUUUAGGACGGAAACCAGUAAAUAGAAAUAAAAACACACAAAAAUAUAUACAUAUAUAUACCUACACACAUCUAUACCUACAAAUGUUUAUAUAUGUAUAUACACACAUAUACACACACCUGUAUAAUAUACACAUAUUAUAUAUAUUAUUUAUUUAUUUAAGUUUUUAUUCUUUGUUUUUUUGAGACAGAGUCUCACUUUGUUGCCCAGGCUGGAGUGCCAUGGCGUGACCAUAGCUCAAUGCAGCCUCGACCUCCCAAACACAAGCAAACCUGCCUCAGCCUCUCAAGUAGUUGCGACUACAGGCAUGCACCACCACACCUGGCUAAUUUUUGUUUUAUUCUUUGUACACAUGGGGAUCUUGAUAUGUUACCUAGGUUGGUCUUGAACUCCUGGCCUCAAGUGACUUUCCCACCUCAGUAUCCCAAAGUGCUGAGAUUACAGGUGUGAGCCACUGUGCCCAGCCAAAACCAAACAUUUUUGAGUUAAAAGCCCCUAAUAAGGAUGGCAGAAUUAGAUAAACAAAUAGGUUCAAUAAAGAAGAUCUUGACAAAGUUUUAAUCUACUAAUUUAACGAUAAUGGAAAUUAGUGGAAUUCGAGAGUGAAGAAAUUUCUGCAUUUAUAAAAGAAUGAAUAGAAUUUUGGCAGAGAAGCCACUUUGUUUUUGAAACGAGUUAAGAAUCAAGGAAUAAAUUAGGAUGAUGGCAAUUACCUGGUUAAUGAUAUCCAAUAUAUGUAAAUUAUCUUUGCUGUGGGUAGGAAAUUUGUUUAUUUUCCAUGAGCACUUCAAGAACCCCAUUAACAAAUUGAGUUACAUCUUUUGACUCAACUUUCAUUAUCUGAAUAGUCCUGCUGGGACAGGUAAUAUUCUCCAUUUGGGGCUACAAAUGUUUGCAUUAGAAAUCAAUCUAUUUGUAAAUGUUGUAUUCAAUUUUACAUGAUCUUGAUCUUAUUUUGUUUAAAUUUGUUGUUUUUUUCAAUGACAAGUUGAUGCUUCCAUAAUACAUUUAAAAACAUAACAUACAAUCCUGUAGUUCUGACUGAACUUUCGUCAGGUUUCAGCACUGUAAACCAAGAAACAUCAACAGAUGAAAAGUUCUCCUCCCAAAAGGGUUAAAAGUCUCCGGGGUUUCUAACUAGAUUGACUUCAGUAUAUUCUAGACAUUCUUUUGCUGUUGCUUGGCUCAUUUCCUUCUUGAUAAGAUUCUAUUUUCCUUCCUCUUCCUCUUCUCUCUGUUACUUAAUAUAGCUCCAAAAUAUGGUAUAGUCCUCCAAACCAUUGCUUUCAGUGAAUGUGUUUAUUAUGAGAUAACUGAAGAUUCUGGGGGCACGUGUGUUUCUUAUGUUCCUGUUAGUUUGUUGCUUCCCAGUCCACUUCUGAUAUAAUAGAAUUUGGAACCAGAUUUUUUUUUUUUUUUUUUGCUACCAUUCUGACAUUGUAACAGCCUUUUCCAUUCUCUUUGAACCAAGAUUAAGCCACAAUUCAGUCUUAAAACAAUAAAUCAUCAUUUGCUCCACAUUCUUGACCCUUGGCUUAAUAAGGAGAAACCUUAGGAACAAACAAGCCUCUUUUACUCUUUCAAGUAUUAUCACUGUGAUUUGAAUUUGUCCCCCAAAGUUCAUGCAUUGUAAACCUAAUCCGCAACGCAACAGUGUUGAGAGGUUGGAUCUUUAAGAGGUGAUUAGGUUGUGAGGGCUCUGCCCUCAUGCAUGGAUUAAUGCCAUUGUCUCCAGAGUGGGUCACUGAUUGUGGGAGUGGGUCCUGAUAAAAUGAUGAGUUCAGCCUCUGAUGAGUUCAGCCUCCUUCCCCAGUCUCUCUUGCUCUCUCCCUCCCUCACCUUCCUGCCUUCCACCAUGGAAUAACACAGCAAGAAGGCUGUUUCCAGAUGCUGGCACUUUGCCCUCAGGCUUCCCAGACUCCAGAACUGUGAGAAAUAAAUUUCUUUUCUUUUUAAAUUACCCAGUCUAUGGUAUUGUUAUAGCAACACAAAAUGGACUAAGAUGGUAACUUUGGCAUCUCCAGAGUGUAGUGAAAUAAGGACAAUUCCAAUUCCCUUUUUUUUUCUGUGACCCAUUCCCUCACCUGGCAAUGAAGGAUCUUUGCUGCUUGAUUGACAUGUGCAAAUGGUUAGCUGAACCCCUUGAUUCCAUAUGUCUCCCUCAAAAUCACUUUACAUCCUAAGGCCAGGAUUUGGCCCCUCUCCCUAGGGCCACUGAAGUUUUAGCUAAUUCCAUUUGUAUUAAAAUACUGGUUAAGAGCUAUAAUGGAGGGUGAUUGACUCUGAAUCUUGACAAAUUUAGAAUCUUUUCCGGCUAUUCAAUCAGGCUUUGCCAACCUUCAUUUCCUUUAUUUUUCAAAUGAAGAAAAUGAAGCAGGUAAUUAAGGAUAAAUUUCUUGUGUGAGACAACAUGGGGAGCCUGUGGCACUUCCAGAAUUAGGCCAGGAAUCCCUCUGCCAGGGAAUUCAGUAGAAAUCUCUGCCAAGUUAUCUCUUUGAUGUCUAUCUCCACAAUUCUUAUUUGCUUUGAAAACUACUGCCUCCUACCUUCGUUUCAGAUGUGGAAAUUGAAGCUGUAAUAAAUGUUAAGUAUCCUAAAAGCAGGACUCACAUAGCAAAUUCAAGGCACAACAAGGAUUCUCAAUCGUUGUGUGUUUGUGCUUUUUUCUAACAAUUCCUGCCUACUGCCUUCCUGUGUUAAGAUAGGGAGAAGAGGAUUGUGGCAGAUUCUGGUGUUUUAGUGCCAUAUGCUCUCUUCAUAUGAAUGCUAUUAAUCAUCUGAUUACAGUAAAUUGAUUUAAGUGCUGGUGAGAUCAACAUCUCCUGAAAUUUAUUAAUCUAUUUAUUGAACACCUACUGCAUACAAUGUAGUACAUUAGGUUCUUUUGGGGGAAAAUGAAAAACAAAAAACAAAAAACAAAAAGCAUAUGCUCCUGACAGAGUAUCUUAUACUAUAGUUAGGAAACCACAUCUACAUAAAAUGAUAUUAGAAAACAGCAUAUGAAAACAUAUUUCCUUCAUCCCAUAGUAAGAUGAAACUGUUUUUCCUUUUUAGUGGUUUUGCCUUUUCCACAGCAUUCCCAUUAUAGCCAAAGCCUCUUUUUUUUUUUUUUUUUUUUGAUACAGAGUGCCACUCUGUCGCAAUCUCAGCUCACUGCAACCUCCGCCUCCCAAGUUCAAAUGAUUCUCCUGCCCCAGCCUCCCAAGUAGCUGGGACUACAGGCGCCUGCCACCAUGCCUGGCUAAUUUUUUUGUAUUUUUAGUGGAGACGGGGUUUCAACAUGUUGGCCAGGCUGGUCUUGAACUCCUGACCUCAAAUGAUCCACCCACCUCGGCCUCCCAAAGUGCUGGGAUUAAAGGCGUGAGCCACUGCACCCAGCCAAAGCCGCUCUUAAUAUGACCCCUUAGAAUGAGAUCUAUUUUGCUCGCAAAGUGGGAUCAAACCAGAAUCCGUUUCUUCCACAUUUUCUUGACAUGCUUUGCAUUUCAUUUAGCAAUUUCUUUGAGUUUCUCUUCCAUGUUACAUUUCUUCUUGACAUAGAAACUAGAUUUUCAAUGGUAGACAUUACUAGCCAUUUUGAGCCAGACUUGACUAUGUGGUUGGUUGGAUUCCCACUGACAAGUAUCAUGGUGGGCACUCCGACACACCAUUUCUCUAGCUGCUUCCAUGUGAGUGCCUCCAGGCAGCCAGAGAUUAUUUUCUCUUCCCUUGCCUGCAUCUGUUUACUCCUCCCCAUUGGAUAGGGCCAGCUUGGGUGACAACAUUCCACUGGACUGUAGCACAGUGCACGAUCUAUCAGCUCAAUUGGGAUUCUGCCUUUGGGGAAGUGCUUCCUUUCAGGGACUAGAGAGGUAAGAGAAACUAGUCCUGCCUGGUAGGAGACCUGGCUCCUUCUUCCCCCAAUCCCCUUUGCCUGUUUUUGAUGCUUUGGUUCUGCUCUUUGCUGGGUGAAGGAAGACAGCAGUGUUGGCUGCUUUAGUUUUGGGCUUCCCUACUAUGGCACCAUUUGGGGCAGCAGCCUAGAUGGUGCUGUACUUGGUGGGGGACAACCCCUCACCCCCAAGCAUUUUGCUGCUUCUCUCUGGCUGACGUGUUUCCCUUUUAAUGUGUACUAUAAAAGAAAAGAAGAGGAAGAAAGAGAGAGGAAGGGAGAUGAGGGAGAGUGGGAAGGAGAAAAAAUAUUAAUUUUUGUUCUUAUGUGAAAUUAACGUCUUACUUGCUUUGUGUCUCCUCUUACCCAAGUUGGCUGCAGUGAUGCCCUCUCUGACACAGUAGGUCAGAGACCCUGAGGUUCGUUCGUUCUUUCUUUCUUUCUUUCUUUCUUUCUCUCUCUCUCUUUCUCUCUUUCUCUCUCUCUCUCUCUUUCUCUCUCUCUCUCUCUUUCUCGCUUUCUCUCUUUCUCUCUUUCUCUCUUUCUCUCUCUCUCUCUCUCUCUUUCUUUCUUUCUUUCUUUGAUGGAGUCUCACUUUGUUGCCCAGGCUGGAGUGCAGUGGCACAGUCUCAGCUCACUGCAACCUCCGCCUACCGGGUUCAAGUGAUUCUCCUGCCUCCGCCUCCUGAGUAGCUGAGAUUACAGGCACACACCACCACGCCCAGCUAAUUUUUGUAUUUUUAGUAGAGAUGGGGUUUCACCAUGUUGGCCAGGUUGGUCUCGAACUCCUGACCUCAAGUGAUCCACCUGCCUCGGCCUCCCAAAGUGCUGGGAUUACAGGAGUAAGCCACCAUGCCCGGCCCUUCAUCCUAUUUUGAUGUCAGAGACCACGUAUGGAUAUAGUGCUGGAUGCUUUAUUUACCAACUUGAGCCUUUAAUUUUGCCUCUGAAAUGAAUUAUUUAUUAGCAAAUACAUUAACAUAACAUUUUUCAUUUGGAGGCAUGCUAAACUGUUGACCUUUUUCGUAAAGAUUCUAAGGGGGCUUGAAAAGGAAAAACCUAGAAAUUUAUAAAUACUGAAUAGAGUGUCCAUCCUUCUUCACUUUGUUUCCUAGUAGCGCUUUCAUCCUGUCACAAAUUGGUUCAGCAGCAGAGGAGUUAAUAUGCACAAGCACUUUUCUUUGUCAUAGGACGACAUUCCAUUUGAGUCCUUUAAGGAUGUGCUGGAAAGGGAGUGGGGAAGUUACACCGCAAAUAUUAUCUUCCCCAGAUGCAAACAAGUUUCUUUACUAGUAGAACUGGAAAAUAUGUGCCACUUGCUAAUUUUUUACUUCUAAACUUUUGUUAGGCUGUUAAAUUUGGUGAAUAAUACCAUGAAUUAUUAUUAUAAAGAUUAGCACAUCUAUUUACAAUAGAAUAUUUCAAACAGACAGAAAAGCAUACAAAAUAAUAUGACAAAAAAUCAUCUAUCUACAAUCCAGCCCUAAGUGCUAGAUAGUAUUUCAUGUAAUAAAAUUUUGCCAUAUUUGCUUCAGAUCUCCCUUUUUCCCUCCCUCCCCCUUUUGCCCUCUUCCUCCCUCCCUUUUUUCCCCUUUCCUCUGUUUCUUCCAAGUUAAAACCUUUUUUUCCUCAACAAGCCACCAGAAGUGCUGACAAAGUUAAAAUCAUAUAGAUGUAGUUAAAACCCCUGAAACCAAUCUAUCUCAUUCCUCUCUUGUGAUCUGCAGGGUGACAACUACCCUGAAUUUAGAGUUUUAAUUCCUCUGUGUAUUUUUAUAUUAUUUAAAAUUUUUUUUAAUAAGAGCUGGAGUCUUCCUGUGUUGCCCAGGGUGAAGGGCAGUGCCUAUUCACAGGUGCAAUCCACUAUGAUCAGCACAGGAGUUUUGACCUGCUCUGCUUCCCACACAGGUGGGUUCACCUUUCCUUAGGCAACCAGGUAGCCCUCUGCUCCUGGGAGGUCACUAUAUGAUGCCCAGAACUAGUGGGCUCAAGCAAUCCUCCCGCCUCAGCCUCCCAAGUAGCUGGGUCUAUAGGCACACACCACCACACCCAGCUAUUUUUUAUAUUUAUACUAUAUAUGUAUCCAUAAGACAUAAAGUUGAUUUGCAAGUUUUUCAUCAUUAAAUGAUAUAUUAUGCGCUUUCUUCUUAAUCUCUCACUCAACAUGUAUUAAUACUCAUCUUUUUUUUUUUUUUCUAAACAGUCUCACUCUGUUCACCAGGCUGGAGUGCAAUGGUGUGAUCAUGACUCACUGAAGCCUUGACCUCCUGGGCUGAAGCAAUCUUCCUGCCUCAGCCCUGCAAGUAGCUGGGCCUACGGGCACACGCCGCCAUGCCUAGCUAAUUUUUGUAUUUUUUGUAGAAACAGGGUUUCACAUGUUGCCCAGACUAGUCAUGACCUCCUUAGCUCAAGUGAGCCACCUGUCUCAGCCUCCCAAAGUGCUGGGAUUUCAGGUGUGAGCCACCAUGGUUGGCCCCUAAUACACAUCUUUUUUUUUUUUUUCUUUUUUUUUUGAGAUGGAUUCUCACUCUGUCUCUCAGGCUGGAGUGCAGUGGCACGAUCUUGGCUCACUGCAGCCUCUGCCUCCCAGGUUGAAGCGAUUCUCCUGCCUCAGCCUCCCGAGUAGCUGGAUUACAGGCGCUUGCCACCACGCUCUGCUAAUUUUUGUAUUUUUAGUAAAGAUGGGUUUUGCCAUGUUGGCCAGGCUGGUCUUGAACUUCUGGUCUCAAGUGAUCCGCCCUCCUCAGCCUCCCAAAGUGCUGGGAUUACAGGUGUGAGCCACUGCGUCAGGCCAAUACACAUCUUCUAGUUUAUUUAAAGUGCUAGAUAGUAUUUCAUUGUAUAAAAAGACCACAGUUUAUUCAUUCUUUUGUUGAUAGAUCUUUAAAUUGUUUCCAUUAUUUUUCCCUUACAAACAAUGCAUGAUAAAUGUUUUUGUAUGUGUCUCCUUGUGAGAGUUAUAUAUCUAGGUGUGACAUCACUGGGUUCUAUCACAAGUCUUUGGAAGUAAUUUUUAUGUGGAUAGUGCAACAAUAUGACUAGUUACUUAAAAGAAAAAAAUUAAGUCAAGAUAAGUGGCGGAAGACACAGAAAUUCAGAAAUAGGAUGUAAAAUAGUAAUGGAAUAGUAGGUAAAUUAGAUACAUAAUCCUAUGCCUUUUUUUUUCUUUUUGAGACGGAGUCUCGCACUGUCGCCAAGGCUGGAGUGCAGUGGCGCCAUCUCGGCUCACUGCAAGCUCUGCCUCCGGGGUUCACACCAUUCUCCUGCCUCAGCCUCCCGAAUAGCUGGGACUGUAGGCGCCCGCCACAUGCCCGGCUAAUUUUUUGUAUUUUUACUAGAGGCAGGGUUUCACGGUGUUAGCCAGGAUGGUUUCAAUGUCCUGACCUUGUCAUCCGUCCGCCUCAGCCUCGCAAAAUGCUGGUAUUACAGGCAUGAGCCACUCCGCCUGGCGACAAUCCUAUGCUUUUUUAAAAAGGUAGUUCAUCUUUUGGCUGGGCAUGGUGGCUCAUGUCUGUAAUCCCAGCACUUUGGGAGGCUGAGGCAGGAGGAUCACUUGAGGUCAAGAGUUUGAGACCAGCCUGACCAACAUGGUGAAACCCUGUCUCUACUAAAGGUACAAAAAUUAGCUGGGUGUGGUGGUGCACACCUGUAAUCCCAGCCACUUGGGAGACUGAGGCAGGAGAAUCACGUGAACAUGGGAGGCGGAGGUUGCGGUGAGCUGAGAUCACGCCAUUGUACGCCAGCUUGGGCAACAGAGCAAGACUCCAGCUCAAAAAAAAAAAAAAAAGGGAAACAUUAAUGAAAAGGUAAUUCAUCUUUUGAAAAAAAAAGUAGAGUGAACAUACUGAACAUCACAGAUUUUCAUCUACAUUUAAGAUGCUAGCUUUAGGCUGGGCGAGGUGGCUCAUGCCUGUAAUCCCAGCACUUUGGGAGGCCAAGGUGGGUGGAUCACCUGAGAUCAGGAAUUCGAGACCAGCUUGACCAAUAUGGUAAAACCCUAUCUCUACUAAAAAUACAAAAAUUAGCUGGCAUGGUGGCGUGCACCUGUAGUCCCAGCUACUUAGGAGGCUGAGACAGGAGAAUUGUUUGAACCUGGGAGGCGGAGGUUGCAGUGAGCUGAGAUUGGGUCACUGCACUCCAGCCUGGGCAAGAGAGUGAAACGCUGCCUCACAAAAAAAAAAAAAAAAAAAAAAAAAGAUGCUACCUUUAGUGUCACUGCUUCUGUGAAGCCUUCCAAAAAUUGCCUUUUUUUCAAUUACUUUCUCCUUUUGACCUCCAUUCUCUCUACCUCUGUUAUAUGAUAUUGUGCAUUAUAUUUGCUGUGGUUUGUUUAUAUCUCUCUCAGCAGGCUGAAUGUGUUUUGAAGGUGGAGUUCAUGUCUUAUUCGUAUCCCCAGGGUGUGGUGUGCAGUUGGUGGUUAAGUCUGAGGAAUGAAUGAAUGGCCCAAAUCACCGAAGAUCUUUCAGAGGUGGCAGUGGGGUUUCUUUUUUUCUUUUCGAGAUGGAGUCUUACUCUGUCAUCCAGGCUGGAGUGCAGUGGCACAAUCUCAGCUCACCGCAACCUCUGCCACCCAGGUUCAAGUGAUUCUCCUGCCUCAGCCUCCCGAGUAGCUGGGAUUGCAGGCACGCACCACCACGUCUGGCUAAUUUUUUUAUUUUUGGUAGAGAUGGGGUUUCACCAUGUUGGCCAGGCUAGUCUUGAACUCCUGACCUCAAGUGAACUACCUGCCUCAGCCUCCCAAAGUGCUGGGAUUACAGGCGUGAGCCACUGUGCCCACUGGCAGUGGGUUUCUGAUGAUAGGAUAGUUUCAUGAAAGUUAGCUUAAAGUACAAAAAACUUUUUUUUUUUCUUUUUUUGAGACAGUCUCAUGCUCUGUCCUCCAGGCUGGAGUUCAGUGAUCUUGGCUUACUGCAACCUCUGCCUCCUGGGUUCACGCCAUUCUCCUGCCUCAGCCUCCUGAGUGGCUGGGACUACAGGUGUGCACCACCACGCCUGGCUAAUUUUUUGUAUUUUUAGUAGAGACAGGGUUUCACCAUGUUAGCCAGGAUGGCCUCGAUCUCCUGACCUCGUGAUCUGCCCGCCUCGGCCUCCCAAAGUGCUGGGAUUACAGGCAUGAGCCACCGUGCCCAGUGAAAAAGCUUUGAUCCUUUGUCUUCAAUUGCACCUAUGAAAAGGAAGUUUCGUAUAAAAGCUGAUAUAAAUGGCUAAUAAAGCAGAGAAAUAGCUUAAAAUUUGACUGUAGACAUUUGCUAUGUAUGAUUAAUAUGUAUCAGUUUACAGUUAAUUUUAGGAAAACUUAAAUUUUAUAAAUUGCCAAGAAAUCACCCAUGAAAAACUAAUUUUCACUUAGCGGUUUAAUUUUUUAACAUUAGGAUUUUUAAGUUUCGCUAGUCUUAUCAUCUGGGACACUGGAAUUUUGUCUUGUUGGAAUUGCUGAUUAAACAAAAUAAUUCUUCAAAAGUGCUUAGCACAAUGUUAGGUAAAUAGUAAGCACUAAGUAAACAUUGGCUUUAUUAUUAUUAGGUGGUCCUAUACUAUGAUUCCUCCUAUUUAUAUCACGUGUGUCUUGCUGCAUAUUUAAGGACGCUCCCAUCUAUAUGUUUGGACUAGUGCAAUAGUAAAGCUGCCAGCUCAGGUGAAGAAAACCAUUUAAAAAUUUAAAGUUAAGCACAUGAUGGAAAAUUCUUGAAUAUGUGGUGAGUUAGGUAUAAAAAAUAUAGGGGGAUUGUAUUGUUGAAUACAAAAAAGCCAUUAGACUAUUUUAAGAAUGCUCUCUUCUGUCAUUAGGGCUUGGUUAUGAAUAGUAUAUCACAUGCAUGAAAGGAGGUGGUGGCUAGUUUCAUUUCCCUAAAACAUGUUUCAAUGGUAAAUUAGAGGCAGCUGUGGUUUACUGACGCAUAAACCCAGUGAGGUCUAUGAUAACUAGUAUAUAUUUACAGUUUGACUCAUGGUGCCUGUCAGGCUUUAAUCAUAGGGGAAGAAGUGAUAGUACUUAGACUUCACUGUUUAAUCUUCCGUUCAUUUGUUUUCCAAGUUUGUUUCAGUCUGUGGGCAGGUUCCCUUUUGAUUGCAACAUGCAGUCCCUAUUUCUGCAGUUUAUCUUCAUUUGCCAUUUUGAGAGGGCUAUGAAAGUCCUAUGAUAAGCUCCUUGUUCUCCAAAUCCAUGCAUAUAAGUCUCAUCGAGUUGGAUGCAUUCUAAAGACAUUUUGAAAUCACAUCAACACUUUCAGAUCAGCAAGUUAUUUCUUAAUAAAUUACUGUCUUAAUGUUAGAUGCUAUUUUAAAAACACGAAAGAGAGCAGUUUCCAAAUAUGUGUUACUACUUCCAGGGAAUUGUAAACUGGAGUGUUUAAUUAAAAGAAGGCCCUAAAUUUUUAUUAUGCUGUCACUGGAUAUUUGAAUAACUAGCUGUAAAUGAGUUCUAGUUGUACAAAAGUGAUUUUCUAAAUCCAGUUGUCCCUAUUUCAAAAUAUAGUUCUAGUUCCUGGGUGAAACUGAAAAUGAAAUGGCCAUGUCUUUAUAACUAAAACAAAUUAGAGGGUUGCAGCAAUAAAAUGAACCCACAGAGGGGAAAAAAACCCUUUGAAUCAGGUUUUUAUUUUCUUCUCCUGAACUGAUUGGGUAAUUUACUCAACUAAUUUUGUCUAGUCAUUAGGAAGUUAAUACUCCAUUCUAUAAUUUCCUUCCACUCAAGUGAGCAAUACUGGUGCAUAUAAUUUGGAUUAAGAACAUUCCUCUACUCUUACAAAUAUUUGGAUAUAUGCCUUGAAUAUGCUUCCUCAUUUAGGCCACAGAAAUUUAUUCAAAGACAAAUCAAUCAAAGAUAAUAACAUUAACUACUAUUUAUUAAGCAUCUCCUUCAUGACAAGACUUUUUCCCAUAUUGAGAUAUAAUUGACAAUUGAAAAUUGUACAUAUUUAAAGUGUACAACAUGAUGAUUUGAUAUGCAUAUAUAUCCAUGCAUAUAUAUCCAUAUCCAUAUCCAUGCAUAUAUAUGGAUAUAUAUGCAUAUAUAUGCAUAUCAAAUCAUGUCGUACACUUUAAAUAUGUACAUAUUUCAAUUAUGCAUAUAUAUGCAUAUAUCCAUAUCAAAUCAUAUAUAUAUAAUAUGCAUAUAUAUCAUAUACAUAUCCAUCACCUCACAUAGUUACCAUUUUCUUUUGUUCUCUCUCUCUUUCUUCCUUCCUUUCUUUCCCUUCUUUUUUAUUUUUUGGUGGUGAGAACACUUAAGAUCCACCCUCUUAGCAAAUUUCAAGUAUAUAAUAUAGUGUUGCUAAUUGUAGUCACAUCGUUGUAGAAUACAUCUCCAGAAUUCAUUCAUUUGGAUAACUGAAACUCUGUAACCCUUUUCCAAUAUCUCCCCAUUCCUCUAUCCCUCCAGCUCAUGGCAACCAACAUUCCACUCUCUGCUGUUCUAAGUUUGACUACUUUAGUUUUUACAUAUAAGUGAAAUCAACACAGUAUUUGUUUUUCUGUGUCUCGCUUAGUUUACUUAGCUUAAUGUUCUUCAGGUUCAUUCAUGUUGUAAAUGACAGGAUUUCCUUUUGUUUUGAAGGCUGCAUAAUAUUCUGUUGUAUAUGUAUACCAUAUUUUCUUCAUCCAUUCAUCUGUUGAUGGACAUUUAGGUUGUUUUCAUAUCUUGGCUAUCAUGAAUAAUGCUGCAAUGAACGUAAGAGUAGAGAUAUCUCUUAGAAAUCCUGAUUUUCCUUUUUUUUUUCAGACAGUCUUGUCACCCAGGCUGAAGUGCAGUGGCAUGAUCUCGGCUCACUGCAACCUCCGCUUCUUGGGUUCAAGUGAUUCUCCUGCCUCAACCUCUGGAGUAACUGGGAUUAUAGGCAUAUGUCACCAUGCCCGGCUAAUUUUCUUAUUUUUAAUAGAGAUGGGGUUUCAUCAUGUUGGCCAGGCUGGUCUGGAACUCCUGACCUCAGGUGAUCUGCCCGCCUCGGCCUCCCACAGUGCUGGGAUUACAGGUGUGAGCCACCGUGCCUGGCCUAUUUGAUCAUCUUUUACAGCUUAGGGAAUUAAGGUUUAGAUGUGGCACAGGACAGAAACAUACUUUGAAGAUAGGUCUGUUUGACUUCAAAACCUGUGCUCUUUGCCAGGUGCAGUGGCUCACGCCUGUAAUCACAGCACUUUGCAAGGCCAAGGCAGGAGGAUCACUUGAGGUCAGGAGUUUGAGACCAGCCUGGCCAAUAUGGCAAAACCCUGUUUCUAUUAAAAAUGCAAAUAUUAGCCAGUCAUGGUGGUGUGCUCCUGUAAUCCCAGCUACUUGGGAGGCUGAGGCACGAGAAUCACCUGAAUCCCGGAGGUGGAGGUUGCAGUGAGCUGAGAUCGUGCCACUGCACUCCAGCCUGGGUGACAGAGUGAUAGUCUAUCUCAAAAAAAAAAAAAAAAACAAAAAACAAAAAACCCCCACAAAACCCACAAAACCAAACCAAAAAACCUGUGCUCCUUACUGUGCUCUCCUGCCUCUCAGUGCGAGAUAAACAGAGUGGGCAAAAUAGCCUAUGAUGUCAUCAUCCGCAAGGCCUGUUGCUACUGUGUGAUGCCUGCUCCCUAGAUGACCUCCUGGGGGGGUGAAGCGAGAGGAAAUCUGGCACCAAGCUGGUUGAGGGGCAGAGCGAGAAUGUCUGGGCUUCCCCCACCCAGCUUGGAAUGUGAGUGAUGCAAAUCAUCUCAUCGAAGGCUCAACUGCAGCCAGGAGACUCCUCCAGUGAUGAUGAGAGUGUACAAAUGAAGUGCAGGAGCGGGGGAGCCUUCACACACCUCCAGCCCUUCCUGCUUCUUGAAAUACUCAUAUCCUCUGGCAGAGACUAGCUACAGAAAUCCAUGUCCACUUACUCACAGCCUGAAAGAAACCCACACAGUGGACCAGGAAGGUUGUUGCAUGGUAAUUAGAGCUACUAUUGAAUUUCUAUUGUGCAUCUUCUCAAUUAGGCACAAUUACCACAUAUAAGAAAUGAGGAAAUUAAGACUCAGAGGAAUUAGGUGAAUUGCCCAAGGUUAUUACAUAGCUUAUACCUGGCCAACCAGGGUUUAAACAUUGUUCUAUAUCCUAAUCCAAGACCCAUGUUCCUCUCACUACUCAGGUUUAUUUCUUUCGCACAGGGAUAUUACAAAGUCAUUAUAUUUCCUGAUUAUAUUUUUGCUGCUGCUGUAUGACCAUCUCGUUUCUUGUCACUGACUUUAUCCAAAAGCAAGAACAUGGUAUGGAAUUUUGGGGGAAGCAGUUGAAAUGAAGUGUUGGAAUUUCAGAGCUUGCAUUACUGGAUUAUGUGUGGAUUGUUGUUUGUACUGCCUCUUUCUUCCUCCUGCUACCUCAUAUAGGUGCUUGAUAUCUGAUUAUUACAGUCUUUUUAGGGGUUCUUGAACAUACUCACUUGUAGAAAAGUGCUGGUUAAAAUCAUAACAGGCAGACAUUUGGGUUCUUAUAGCCUUGCAAUAAAUGGAAGGAAGUAACUUUUGGGCUUAUGAAAAUGUAUACUGCAAGGUUUUUCUUUCUUUCUUUCUUUCUUUCUUUCUUUCUUUCUUUCUUUCUUUCUUUCUUUCUUUUUCUUCCUUCCUUCCUUCUUCCUUCCUUCCUUUCUUCCUUUCUUCCUUCCUUCCUUCCUUUCUUCCUUUCUUCCCUUCUUUCUUUCUUUCUUGAGACAGGGUCUCGCUCCAUCACCCAGGCUGGAGUGCUCACUGCAAGGAUCCUCCUGCCUCAGCCUCCCAAGUAGCUAGGACUACAGGCAUAGCCACCAUGCCUGGCUAACUUUUCUUAUUUUUUGUUUUAUGUAGAGACAGUAUCUUGCUGUGUUGCCUAGGCUGGUCUCAAACUCCUGGCUUCAAGGGAUGCCCCCACCUUGGUCUUCCAAAAUUCUGAGAUUAUAGGCACGACCCACCAUGCCCAGUGGUUUUCUUAAAGUUCUCUGCAAGGUGUAGAUAGUUUCAUGAGUAAGAUGAUUAGUCAGUACAGUAGCAACAUUAGGUAAUUGGUUUUGCCAUUUCGAGCUUGUAGCAAAUUAUCCAUUCUUAUAUGACAAAGCCUAUGGGACAACUGGAGGACUUGAACUGUUUCUCUUCAGUGCCCGUAAAGAAGGGACUGAAGCUUCAUAAAUCUAGUCCUUCACUCUCCUAGCUCUGAUCCUGUCCUUUCUGUAAGUAAUGAUCAUAUUGCCUUCAGUAGGUGUUUGUCAAGUCUGUAUUUUGUUUUAGAGACAGGAGCUCGCUUUGCUGCCCAGGCUGGACUCGAACUCCUGGGCUCACUUUAUCCUCCUGCCUCAGCCUCUCUGAGUAGCUGGGACUACAAGCACUGCCAUGGAGACCAAUUUGUCAAGCAUUUUAAUACCAUCUCAUCACUGUAAUGAUCAACACAUGUGAUCUAAAAAUCUUUUACAUGGCAGUGGAAAGGGCUUGAGCCAUCUCCGUAUUAAAACCCAGGUGGUAUCCUCAUCCUUUAAUCUUGAAAUGUUGAAAGAGUUGAUUAGCUGUCCUUGCUAGCUAUCUCUAGGAAGGAUAGCUAAUAACUGUUUUGCUUUUGCUUUUGUGUGUGUGUGUGUAUAUAUAUUUAUAUGUAUAUAUGUGUGUAUAUAUAUACAAAAGCAAAAGCAAGACAGUAUUUGAAAUUUGAAGACAUUGAUUCUCAUAACCAGUCUAUUUCAGGAUUAAAUCACAUAACCACCAAUCUCUGCCAACCCACUUUCCAGUAACCACCCCACCUCCAAUUUCCUGUAAAUAGCAAACACUCUGUAGUAUUUCAUCUACAGGGAGCACUGUUGAGUAGCUGGAGUAGUAACAGUAUUUGCUUAUUUUUUUACUUGAGAAGGCUUUUUGUUUGUUUUGAGAUUGGUGUGUGUUGGGGGGGUCUCACUAUGUUGCCCAAGCUGGAUUUGAACCUCUGAGCUCAAACCUCCUGCCUCAGCCUCUUGAGUAACUGGGACUACAGAUGCGUCACCACGUCUGGCUACUUGAGAAGUUUUACAAUUUUUAUGUUUUAAAAGCAGGAAAAGAAAAAAAUCUAGGACUUGUCUCUGUCAUAACAUCAUCCAUAAAAAGUGAUUUUAAGAUGAAGAUUUCUCCUAGAGAGAUACAAGCUGGUGGAUCUAGCAUUCAGCUCUCACUUUCAUUCAAUAUAGUUGUCAUUUUAGACCCAAGCUUUCCCUAGAGAUAGUGAUUCCACCAGGGGAAGCAAUAUGUGAAGUUAUUGCAAGAAACUUUUUGUGUGAAAUUGUGACUGCUGCCAGAGAUGUCAUAUGUUUUAGUUAACUUUCUUCCCAGGAACCAAGAAAAUUUCCCAAGCCCCAGAUAAAUACAGCUGGAAUGCUAUUCAGAAGUCAGUAGCAUGGGGCUGAAGAGAGAGACUGAAUUUUACACACUCCAUUUGUUUCUGGUUGAGAUAAACCCUCUGUUCUAUUUUGCUUACGGUAAAAAUCCAAUUCACUUUGAAAGUUGUAAAGCCCAAAGAACUCAAACAAAUUUACAAGAAACAAACAACCCCAUCAACAAGUGGCCGAAGGAUAUGAACAGACACGUCUCAGAAGAAGGCAUUUAUGGAGCCAACAGACACAUGAAAAAAUGCUCAUCAUCACUGGCCAUCAGAGAAAUGCAAAUCAAAACCACAAUGAGAUACCAUCUCACACCAGUUAGAAUGGCGAUCAUUAAUAAGUCAGGAAACAAUAGGUGCUGGAGAGGAUGUGGAGAAAUAGGAACACUUUUACACUGUUGGUGGGACUGUAAACUAGUUCGACCAUUGUGGAAGACAGUGUGGCGAUUCCUCAGGGAUCUAGAACUAGAAAUUCCAUUUGACCCAGCCAUCCCAUUACUGGGUAUAUACCCAAAUGACUAUAAAUCAUGCUGCUAUAAAGACACAUGCACACUCAUGUUUAUUGCAGCACUACUCACAAUAGCAAAGACUUGGAACCAACCCAAAUGUCCAUCAAUGAUAGACUGGAUUAAGAAAAUGUGGCACAUAUACACCAUGGAAUACUAUGCAGCCAUAAAAAAGGAUGAGUUAAUGUCGUUUAUAGGGACACGGAUGAAGUUGGAAACCAUCAUUCUCAGCAAACUAUCGCAAGGACAAACAACCAAACACCGUGUGUUCUCACUCAUAGGUGGGAAUUGAACAAUGAGAACACUUGGGCACAGGAAGGGAAACAUCACACACCGGGGCCUGUUGUGGGGUGGGGGGA
rnacentral:lncRNA from 1 species